rnacentral:pre_miRNA from 1 species
CUACUGCUCCCUUCAUUUCAUAAUUCUUGUUUCAGAUUUGUCCAAAAUAGAUGUAUCUAUUUUUUAAAAGUAGCUAGAUACAUGUAAUAUUUGGACAAGAAUUAUGAAAUGGAGGGAGUAUCUA